CUCUUAUCCAUUUCCGCUUCGGUUGCGUAGGCACCCAGCGGCGGCCGCCGGCUUCCCGUGGUGCUCACCAACAGGAUCUCACGAUGUUGUCCACGACUCGCGGGCACUGCGUGCAUCUCAUCCGGCCACGGUUACAACAAUGAAGUCGGGCGGCCGGGCGUCCCGCCAACAAAUGGGUGAUGCAGCCAGUCGACGGCUCCAUGAUGAAGAGGAGAUGCAAGCAGCCGCCGGUGGCCAGAGGUACGAUAUGAAGUCGACAUGGAAUCAUGGACGGCGGCGCGGCCACGCGUGGUUAAGCAAAUUCAGGUUAAGCGACUUCAUGCAUGCACGAUGGCCGUGCAGUCCAGCUUUCCUCGCAUCAAUCUCCUCUUCUGCCGAUCGUCUAACAUGGAUGAAGAAAGGAACGUGUUGUCACAUGCAAAGGAAAAUCAAUCUGCAUCCAACUAUCAAUAUGUAUAUACUUCUUUAUGGAGAUAUACUUCUUUUU